AAAAAAAAAAAAACACAUAAUUGGACAAAAUGUACAAUAUUAUUUUCUUAACAGUUAAACUAAAGGAACAUGUUUGCAAUAUAUAUGAUGUGUACCUAUUUGCAACAUUAUUUUAUUCGUCAACAAUAGCCUAUUAAAUUAUUUCAUGUUUUCCACUCUAUAUCAUUACACUAUACAUUACCUAUAUAAUAUUAUUAUUUAUUAUAAUAAUCAUCUCGUUUUAUCUUUUUCUUUAUGUAGGAGUCCUCUUCGUAUAAUGUACAUUUUAAUAAAUUGGUAACUUUGACGUUUGACUACCUACGCUACUUUAAAAUCUAAUUAAUUUUCGUGUUUAGUACCUAAAUACGGUUUAUAUUAUAUUACGACUAUUGAGAAUUGAGGUUUUUUGUCCGGUGGAGGUGAACAUUGAUUAUUAUUACCUAUGCAUAUUGCGUAUUGUUAUGUUAAAAUAGGUAACCUACAAAUUGCUUGACCGAAAUUAUUACUAUGAUGUUUGAAAAAAAAAAACCCCAUAAGAGUCGAAAGUUUAAAACUGGUGACGAAGUGAGAAACACAAAGACGAAAAUAUUGAAUUUUUUCUAUUACCUUAUUAUUAUUGGUUAUUACUUACGUAAUAAUAUUCUAAAUUGCUAUUUUUAUUAAUUUAUUAAUACUAUUAUUAUAAUAUGUAUUUUCCAUUUGCGAAAAAUGUAUAAAAAUAUAGUUUUCAUGUAUUUUUUUUCUUAUUAUUUUUUUUUCUUAUGAA